AAGAACUGAUUUAGUGAUUCAGUUUUUGCCUCUAUCACCGUAUUCCCGCCACCUCUUUUGCUACUCACUGGUUCACUGGCAUUAAAUAAAUGGUCAUCAUCAAGGGUGUUCUAUGAUCCCUUGAAAUGAAAUUCUGAACGAAGUGAAAAGAAAUAAGCUGUUUUCAGACUUGGCCUCAACAUUUUGCUCCAGAGAUGAUACUGUAUCUCUAGGAAAUUAUAUAGAGAUAUCUCCCCCCUUUUAAAAAAACUUACCCCUAACCAAAUAAAAGUUUCCUUGCAUUUAGGAAAAACACAUUUAUCACCAGAAAAAGUAACAUGGACUAGGUGAGAAUCAGAAGCCGAUACGCGUCAUUAACAUUUCAGAGUCAAAUCAAAUCAACUCUAGAAUUUGUUUGUAUUUUCUGAAAGCCUUUGGAUAGUUUUAGGAAACCAUGAUUGGGGUUUGGCCAGAAAGGAAUUCCUAAUGUCUUGUCCUCUUUACUCUCAAUAUUAAAUGAUAUCACUGGACACUGUCAAAUCACUUUUAGAGGCAACUAAUGUUGCUUAUAUAAGG
rnacentral:lncRNA from 1 species